AACGCUGGCGGCGUGCCUAAUACAUGCAAGUCGAACGAGUUCUGAUUAUUGAAAGGUGCUUGCAUCUUGAUUUAAUUUUGAACGAGUGGCGGACGGGUGAGUAACACGUGGGUAACCUGCCCUUAAGUGGGGGAUAACAUUUGGAAACAGAUGCUAAUACCGCAUAAAUCCAAGAACCGCAUGGUUCUUGGCUGAAAGAUGGCGUAAGCUAUCGCUUUUGGAUGGACCCGCGGCGUAUUAGCUAGUUGGUGAGGUAACGGCUCACCAAGGCAAUGAUACGUAGCCGAACUGAGAGGUUGAUCGGCCACAUUGGGACUGAGACACGGCCCAAACUCCUACGGGAGGCAGCAGUAGGGAAUCUUCCACAAUGGACGCAAGUCUGAUGGAGCAACGCCGCGUGAGUGAAGAAGGCUUUCGGGUCGUAAAACUCUGUUGUUGGAGAAGAAUGGUCGGCAGAGUAACUGUUGUCGGCGUGACGGUAUCCAACCAGAAAGCCACGGCUAACUA
rnacentral:rRNA from 2 species